rnacentral:tRNA from 1 species
UGCGUCCGUAGUGUAAUGGAUAUCACUCUAGAUUCCGGUUCUAGCAAUGGGGGUUCGACUCCCUCCGGACGCAU